AUUGAACGCUAGCGGCAUGCUUAACACAUGCAAGUCGAACGGUAACAGGCCUAGCUUGCUAGGUGCUGACGAGUGGCGGACGGGUGAGUAACGCGUAGGAAUCUACCUUGUAGAGGGGAAUAACUUGGGGAAACUCAAGCUAAUACCGCAUAAGCCCUAAGGGGGAAAGCAGGGGGACCGAAAGGCCUUGUGCUAUGAGAUGAGCCUGCGUCAGAUUAGCUAGUUGGUGGGGUAAAGGCCUACCAAGGCGACGAUCUGUAGCUGGUCUGAGAGGACGACCAGCCACACUGGGACUGAGACACGGCCCAGACUCCUACGGGAGGCAGCAGUGGGGAAUAUUGGACAAUGGGCGCAAGCCUGAUCCAGCAAUGCCGCGUGUGUGAAGAAGGCCUGCGGGUUGUAAAGCACUUUCAGUGGGGAGGAAGGCCUUAGUCUUAAUACGGCUAAGGAUUGACGUUACCCACAGAAGAAGCACCGGCUAACUCUGUGCCAGCAGCCGCGUAA
rnacentral:rRNA from 1 species